GAACUUAGCAGAGAUGCUUUGGUGCCUUCGGGAACUCUGAGACAGGUGCUGCAUGGCUGUCGUCAGCUCGUGUUGUGAAAUGUUGGGUUAAGUCCCGCAACGAGCGCAACCCUUAUCCUUUGUUGCCAGCGGUUAGGCCGGGAACUCAAAGGAGACUGCCAGUGAUAAACUGGAGGAAGGUGGGGAUGACGUCAAGUCAUCAUGGCCCUUACGAGUAGGGCUACACACGUGCUACAAUGGCGCAUACAAGAGAAGCGACCUCGCGAGAGCAAGCGGACCUCAUAAAGUGCGUCGUAGUCCGGAUUGGAGUCUGCAACUCGACUCCAUGAAGUCGGAAUCGCUAGUAAUCGUGGAUCAGAAUGCCACGGUGAAUACGUUCCCGGGCCUUGUACACACCGCCCGUCACACCAUGGGAGUGGGUUGCAAAAGAAGUAGGUAGCUUAACCUUCGGGAGGGCGCUUACCACUUUGUGAUUCAUGACUGGGGUGAAGUCGUAACAAGGUAGGCGUAGAUGA
rnacentral:rRNA from 1 species